rnacentral:rRNA from 1 species
GCGACCCCAGAACGGGCGAGGCCACCCGCCGAGUUUAAGCAUAUCAAUAAGCGGAGGAGAAG